rnacentral:rRNA from 1 species
AGCAGCCGCGGUAAUUCCAGCUCCAAUAGCGUAUAUUAAAGUUGUUGCAGUUAAAAAGCUCGUAGUUGAAUUUCGGGGUCAGUAGGUCGGUCGUGCCACUGGUAUGCACUGGUCUCACUGAUUCCUCCUUCUUGUAGAACCGUAAUGCCAUUAAGUUGGUGUUGCGGGGAAACAGGACUGUUACUUUGAAAAAAUUAGAGUGUUUAAAGCAAGCUAACGCUUGAAUACAUUAGCAUGGAAUAAUGAAAUAGGACGAACGAUCCUAUUUUGUUGGUUUCUAGGAUUGACGUAAUGAUUAAUAGGGAUAGUUGGGGGCAUUAGUAUUCAAUUGUCAGAGGUGAAAUUCUUGGAUUUAUUGAAGACUAACUACUGCGAAAGCAUUUGCCAAGGAUGUUUUCAUUAAUCAAGAACGAAAGUUAGGGGAUCGAAGACGAUCAGAUACCGUCGUAGUCUUAACCAUAAACUAUGCCGACUAGGGAUCGGAUGAUGUUAAUUUUUAAUGACUCAUUCGGCGCCUUAC